rnacentral:rRNA from 1 species
AAGGGCACCACAAGAACGCGUGGAGCAUGUGGCUUAAUUUGACUCAACGCGGGAAAUCUUACCGGGUCCGGACACACUGAGGAUUGACAGGCAAUCAUGUGAAUAGCUUGCAAACUUUUUUGUUUGUAAAGCAUUUACAUAUAAAUAUGCUAGUCCUUUCAUGAUUAUGUGAUAGGUGGUGCAUGGCCGUUCUUAGUUCGUGGAGUGAUCUGUCUGCUUAAUUGCGUUUCGCAAUGGAUUUGAUAAACAAGUUGUGCUAUCUUCCUUGUAGAUGAUUACUUGUCUUGCGCGUUUAUGUAUUGGAUGCUUACCCCAGUCUUUGGCUGUGCGCGUAUCGUUCUUUACUCAGUGUUUAGUCAGUAGUCUCUACUUUUUUGGAGGAUUAGUGCACAUUGAAUCCUGAAAGCAACGAACGUGACCGCAUCCUCUUGUUGCCUUCUAACUAAACAAACUUUCUCUUUUUUUUAAGAAUUAGUAUGUUUUAACAAAGUAGGCUCUAUUGUAUUAUACAAUAAAACUAGAGGGACCGCUGCGACCUUUUAAACCAGAGGAAGGUUGCGGCAAUAACAGGUCUGUGAUGCCCUUAGAUGUUCCGGGCUGCACACGUGCUACAAUGAUUAUUGCAGUGAGCAUCUCAUUUCCAAACGCUGCUAUCUAUAGAUUGAUACUUUUAUUAGUACUCUGAUCAGUAGAUUCAGCUUAGCCUGCUUCGAGAGUUAGCAGGUAAUCAAUUGGAAGUAAUGAUUUCCCUUAAUACAAAAUUUAUUUUUUGUUUUUGCGAGCACACAAUACGCUGCUCCCUUCCUGGUUCAUAGCAAUUUUUGUCUAUGUUACCAUACGGUUGGGAUGUUUUUUUUAUAAAAAAUUUACAGCGUGUGCUUUUUGUCAAUUCAUGGUGGGGACAGACCAUUGUUAAUUAUUGGUCUCGGUCUCAACUAGGAAUGCCUUGUACGGGUCUUUGGUUCAACAAACCACCCGGAAUACGUCCCUGCCCUUUGUACACACCGCCCGUC